rnacentral:rRNA from 1 species
GAGGCCUAACACAUGCAAGUCGAACGGGAUUCAGUAGCUUGCUACUGAUGAGAGUGGCGCACGGGUGAGUAACGCGUAUGCAACCUACCUCUUACAGGGGGAUAGCCCGGAGAAAUCCGGAUUAAUAUCCCAUGGUAUUUAUUGUCCGCAUGGAUAGUAAAUUAAAGAUUUAUCGGUAAGAGAUGGGCAUGCGUGACAUUAGUUUGUUGGUGAGGUAACGGCUCACCAAGACUACGAUGUCUAGGGGUUCUGAGAGGAUGAUCCCCCACACUGGUACUGAGACACGGACCAGACUCCUACGGGAGGCAGCAGUGAGGAAUAUUGGUCAAUGGGCGCAAGCCUGAACCAGCCAUCCCGCGUGAAGGAAGACGGCCCUAUGGGUUGUAAACUUCUUUUCUGCACCAAGAAUGGGCCUUACGUGUAAGGUUUUGACGGUAGUGCAGGAAUAAGCAUCGGCUAACUCCGUGCCAGCAGCCGCGGUAAUACGGAGGAUGCAAGCGUUAUCCGGAUUCAUUGGGUUUAAAGGGUGCGUAGGCGGAUAGGUAAGUCAGUGGUGAAAUCCUACAGCUCAACUGUAGAACUGCCAUUGAUACUGUCUAUCUUGAGUGUAAAUGAAGUGGGCGGAAUGUAGCAUGUAGCGGUGAAAUGCAUAGAUAUGCUACAGAACACCAAUUGCGAAGGCAGCUCACUAACAUACAACUGACGCUCAUGCACGAAAGCGUGGGGAUCAAACAGGAUUAGAUACCCUGGUAGUCCACGCUGUAAACGAUGAUUACUCGUUGUUGGCGAUACACAGUCAGCGACCAAGCGAAAGUGAUAAGUAAUCCACCUGGGGAGUACGAUCGCAAGGUUGAAACUCAAAGGAAUUGACGGGGGCCCGCACAAGCGGUGGAGCAUGUGGUUUAAUUCGAUGAUACGCGAGG